rnacentral:lncRNA from 1 species
UAACACAAAAGAUUGUUUUAUUGGUUGUGCACUUAUCGUUUUUAUCGAGGAACCAAGAUUCAUUUAUGUCUUUUACAAAAAGGGCAUACAAAAAGAGAUGCAGUAGACGUGUCCAAAAGGAAUAUUAAAAAAUACUAGAAUUUUCAUCAGUACAUAUCGAAAAAAAAUCGAAUGUUGGAACUUCUAAAAGAAAUGAUUUCUUAUCUUGCGAAAAUCUAAAAGAAUAUUUUGACCAUCAUGAGUCAUCUAUUUUGUACAAUGAAUACUCUUAUGACCAAAAGCCUAAUGAGUAUAAGCAUAACCCAACUUUAAAGGAAAGUUUUUCUGCAUUUUUUUCUAACCAAGUAAUGUUGCACUAAACAAGUGAAUUGACAAAGAAUAGCAACAAAUUUAUUGUCCCAAAAAAACUAUAAUCAUGCACUGAAAAACAACCUUUCGUCAACAAAAGAAUGGCACAAAUUUCCAUUGAUAAAAUGUAAGAUAACAGAUGGUCAGUAUCUAACUUGUUUUGUGUUUUUUUUUAAAAAGUAACUUAAUUACUUUUUUGCAGCAAAAUGUUUUAUAAUUAGAUUCAUUUUCAUGUUGUGAAGAAUACAACUUUCUACAUCAGAUGAGAUAUAUGCUAAAGAAAGCAUUAAAAAUAAGAAUAACAAAUCAUACCGCUCUUCAUUGCCAGAACCUUCGCCACCUAUUAUGAAUAAGCCCAAUGCUAAAAGUGUAUAACACAAAUAUCAUAAUUUUUUCUUAAUGGUUUUUAAACUGAAAUAGAUUCUUGUUUAAUUUGAUCUGAAUAAUAUCUAUCUAGUUAUUAGUUAGCAUUCUAUUGUAUUAAAUAAUCCUUUAAUCAACUUGAUAUGAAAAUUAAAAAUUAAUUGAAAGCAUGCUGAAAUUGUUUGAAUUCAGAAAUUGAAAGAGUACAAAAUUGGUUGAAAGAUUAAAUUAAGUAACAGGUUUCCAAUCUGCCUCUCUUGCCUUUGUCUGAUUCUACAGAUAAAGUUUAGCUGAUUUAAAAAAGAUGCAAAAUGUUAUUCUCAAGGAGCUUGCAGAAAUAAAAGUUCUUUUAAAAAAAGUUAUAGAAAUUAAGUUUCAGGCUACUGGGGUGAAGUUGCUAGAAUCAGUGGACGAAGUGGUUACACUGGAUAAUAAACUAAAAGAUAAAACCGAGUAUACUAAUUAGCUUGAUAGUUUGAAAAAAAUUGGUGGCGGAAAACCAAGAGAACAUGUUUUUUUGAUCAUGAAAAGGUUAUUUUCGAUCAGUUACAGUCCAAAUUAAAUUGAAAAGGAAAUGGAAAAAAGAUAAGCUUAGAAAAUAUAUGAAGUGUUUUACAAGAUAUCGGCGACGUGAAAGAAGAUAUUGACGGCAAUGCAGAAAUAUAGUUUUUUAUGUAUAUUUUUGUGAAAUAAAAUUAAGUAAUUUUAGUUAAAA